rnacentral:misc_RNA from 1 species
AGUGCAUAUCUAACAAUACAAGGGUUGGGAAUUAAAAAGUUAACACCCAUUUCCCUCUAAAAUUUUAAAAGGUCAAAAAAGAAUUCCUUUAAAAAGCAUUUUUGCGGGUUAGAUAAUAACAAGCAAAUUAAGAAAGAAAGAAAAAAAAGUUCUCAAUUACUUAUAUUUUUAUAAAUAAAUAUAGGAUUGCAUAUUAUUAGUUUAUUACUUUUGCU